GCAGAGUCGAUAGUACAAGUAGCGACAAGGAUGGUCCUCAAAAAUGUUAUUUUAGUCGUCGGCUCAAUUAUUUCAGUUCAUAGAAAUUUCCAAGAAAAGGGAAGCCCUUCCUCCUUUUUCUCCAUACCCUGUUAUAAAGGUAUAGCAAUUCCAACACUUUCUCUAUCUUCUAAAAUGUUCACUUCAUUACAGUAGAACUUUGAAUCUGAAUCUCAAAGCCUAAGAUGAUCCAGGUGUACACAAUUGGGAGAGCUCGAUUCGAAGUUUAAGCGAGAGGCUUGCUUAAGAGUUAAGACUUCGUAUUUAAGUAAGGUCCAUUUUAUUUUAGCAAUUUCCGUACUAGUUUUCUGAUCUUUCUUUUAAGUUGAAAUUCAAAGUCGGAGAUGGUUUUGGCGUACGACAACUGGGAGAGGUUAGUUCGAGCCACACUACGAAGAAUAGAGCUCCGUGAAGUUGCCCUUGAGCACUCUAGGACACCAAGCGCCACCUCCACAUCUUCAGGUAUCAGUUCCAACAAUGAUUCCCCACUUCGGGAUUUGACUUCCAAGAAUUCCAGCCCUCCACUACUGCCGCAACAAGCUUCAUCUUCACGACAGCAGAAUCUCCAAGAGGCGGCUGACUUAAAAAAUGCAAAGUUACUCAAGAAAGGAAGAUCUUCCAAGCUUCGUUUAGACAGAUGGAUUUGGAAUCGAUGGCUUUCAAAUUCCUAGUCGGUCAACUUUUAAUAUGUUCUACAAUAACUAAGUUAAGGAUAAGAAUUUGUUCUUAUCUUGAUAUUUAUACACUAAAAUAAUCAUGUGAGUUGGUCUCAGACCUACUUUGAAUUUGGAUAUUUAUUCAGACUGCAACCCUUUUUUGUUGGUAAUCUAGUUGUUCGCACGGUGAAAUUUUAAAAUAGUUUUCGUCGCCCUUCAUAUAUAAAUUGUAAUAAAAAUAUUAACUUUGACAAAUUCUCAA
rnacentral:lncRNA from 1 species